rnacentral:ncRNA from 1 species
CUGACAUGUGUGCUAGUCAACGGGCUAGAAAAAGCGUAAGGCGCAAGGAAGCUGAUUGGCGGGAUCCCUCGCGGGUGCAUCGUCGACCUACCUUGAUCUUCUGAGAAGGGUUCGAGUGAGAGCAUGCCUAUCGGGACCCGAAAUAUGGUGAACUAUGCCUGAGCGGGGCAAAGCCAGAGAAAACUCUGGUGGAGGCCCGCAGCCUGACUUGCAAAUCGUUCGUCUGACUUGGGUAUAGUGGCGAAAGACUAAUCGAACCGUCUAGUGUCACGG